rnacentral:rRNA from 1 species
ACUCCUACGGGAGGCAGCAGUGGGGAAUAUUGCACAAUGGGCGCAAGCCUGAUGCAGCCAUGCCGCGUGUGUGAAGAAGGCCUUCGGGUUGUAAAGCACUUUCAGUUGUGAGGAAGGAUGGUGUCGUUAAGUAGGUACUGGACAUUCAGCUUUAGAUCGAUUUUGAAGCCGAAACAAUAGGAAGGAAAGCCAACCGGGCAUGAACUCCCGGCUAGCCCAGCCAGCCGCGGUAAUACGGAGGGUGCGAGCGUUAAUCGGAAUUACUGGGCGUAAAGCGCAUGCAGGUGGUUUGUUAAGUCAGAUGUGAAAGCCCGGGGCUCAACCUCGGAAUCUUGACA